GUGAAGACAGAGCUAACUGGAGUGCAUGGGGUGCCUUUGGGUGGAGGUUGCUGAUGGCUGGGACAGAUGCACCCUGCCCACUGUCUCCUCUGGGGACAGUGACAUCUUUCCCUGCUCUGAUAGCUUGAAAGGACCUGCAUGGCUGAGCUGCCCAGGGGAGCAUUGAGGUGCUUCCUCUGUGUCCUGAGGAGCCAGGUGCUCUCUGCACCCCCAGCUGCUGGAGCCCAGAGGGUGGCAGCCUGGAGCUGGGGCAGCGGUGCCUGGUGCAGUGAGGACUCGGUCUGUGUGGCCUGGUUAGCACAGGACCAUGAGGAAGGGGUUUGGCCAAGGCAUCCCCAGGGACAAGCACGGAUGACAGCAGGUGAGCUGAAAUCAACCUGUGCUUACACAGUGAGUCUUGCCAGUGCCUCUGAGGAAAGAUGACCUUGGGGAAGUGAGUGGUCAUUGGUUUCCUGUGUGCCCGGUCCUUCUGGAGAAAGAGUCUGCAAAACAUGCCUAGUCUGUGUGGUCACAGCAGGAAGAGGGCAG
rnacentral:lncRNA from 10 species